GACAAAAGUGUAUAGCCAUGCCCAGCCCGCGGGAAUGAUUUUGCUGGUAGGAUGCUGCCGUCGCUGUCGACAAGACGGCCCAAGGUUUCUUGCGUAGCGGACCUCGCAGAUUACGAGAUCGUAUCCUUGCAUUAGGCUGUGCUCAUCACUGCUCUUCGAGGUUAUCUCGACAUGCAGAAGCCGCCAAUGCCAGUGACAGAAGAGUCUGACAUUAGAUCUCUACGCUAUGCGGCACACAGGCAGUACACACUAUGUACACGGCAAAUUGGGCAAGCACGUUCGUUGUCGUCUUCCAGCCUGCGUUGUGAAUACCAUCAGGCAAAGAUAUCCAAAUCCUGCACCACCUCAGCCUUCUCAGGAGGCUUCCACCUGGAAUUUGGCAGGGAAACACGCUUCUCCAAGGCAGGAACAUGGAGGUUGCCAUUUGCAACCGCUACCACCUCACACAUGAGCUUGUCAACAUACUCAUAGCUCUUUCUGUCGUAUAAUUUUCUAUUUGGCCACAGUCUUCUUUAUGCUUUGAGAACUGGACUUUAUACCUUCC